rnacentral:rRNA from 1 species
UGUGUAGGCGGUUUGGUAAGCUGGUGUGAAAUCUCCCGGCUCAACUGGGAGGGUGCGCCGGAAACUGCCGGACUCGAGUGCGGGAGAGGAGAGUGGAAUUCCUGGUGUAGCGGUGAAAUGCGUAGAUAUCAGGAGGAACACCGGCGGUGUAGGCGGCUCUCUGGACCGUAACUGACGCUGAGACAUGAAAGCGUGGGUAGCAAACAGGAUUAGAUACCCUGGUAGUCCACGCCCUAAACGAUGCAUAUUUGGUGUGGGUCAUUCAGUUGAUCCGUGCCGGAGCUAACGCGUUAAAUAUGCCGCCUGGGGAGUACAGUCGCAAGGCUGAA